AUGUCCAUGCCCAGCAGCGGGGCCCACCCACAGGACGUGGGGGUAUCCCCGGAACCCCCAUCCGGACACUUGUCCCCCAGCCCUGCCCUAGAGUCGCCAGACCUAGCGCUCUCAGAGCCAUCUGGUCGACCCGGGGAGCGUGACCGCAAGGAAGGGACAGGGACAGGAAGGAGGUGGAGCCGGCCGGCCAGCCGGGGAAGCCCUUCCCGGCUUGCCCACGCGGGCAGGUAUCGGUCUGUCCGGAGCUCCAGACGGGGACUUGGCUCCCCCAAAAUCCAGGACACACCAUCCAGCUCAGGGAAACACUCCGAGGGCGGGGGGCGGGAAAUGAGAGCGUGGGAAACGAAGUCUUGUCCAACGACCGGGACCCUACAUGGGCACGCCUCAGGCCCAGGUGCACCCUUCCCGGCCACACCCGGGAGCAGGGGGCCGGCGGGGUACCGUCCACCGUCUCCGGAUCCAUCAGGACUUGGAAAAAAAAAUGUUUCCACGGAGGCGCCUCCGACGAACGGACCCCGCGAAGGAAGGCGCCGGGGCCCGAGCCACCCUUUCCGCUCCACCCCUCACGUCUUGUGCCGGUCUAGACCUCGUGAGUACGACUCCGCACGGGCCGGCGGUAGCCAUCAGUCGGGGGGCAGGCGGGGAGGGACCCAUGCCGGCAUGACGACCGGGAAACAAGCGUGCCGGCCACCGAGCCUGUCGCGCCCUCCAACGCCCUCAGCGCACAACCCGGGCCUGGUCGGUCCCCGGGGCCGGAGCGGCAAGAGCGGAUGCUGGUCGACCCGGCCAGGCGGCCCCAGAGCCUGCCUGGGGAGCGCGGUGACAGUCACUCCCUCACAGGCCUGCACGCCCAAUCUCCGGGGAGAGAGGGACACUCCCAGGCCUCUGAGCCACCGGAGCUGUCGCCGCCAGUGUCGCCAGCCUCCCGGAACUCUGACUCAGGCCGGAUGGCUGAGUCACAUCCCUCGCGAAGGUCCCCAAAGCUGCAGAGGGAAGGGACGAUAUAAAAGCGGACACUAGAUGGCACGCGACACCCGCCACCAACGUCACCAGGACAGAUCCGGAAGGCCGGCCGGCCGGCGGCGACACAACGACACAGCGCCGGCCACCCAAAUGCCCGAGCUCUUCCCGGGGCCGAGGCGCCAGGCGUCCUGCACGACCGCGAAGCUUGCCUCGCGGAGCUGCCUCCUGGCAAGGCACUGCGUGGCGUGAUGGCAGCAGAUGGAAAGAGGGGGGCGGCGGCGGCGGCGGCGGCGGCGGCGGGGAAGGAGCUGGGAAGAGGUUCUCGCUGUUGCCUAGAAGGAGCCGCGCUCGCUCCCCCAAGCAUGUCCCUUCCUGGGCUUGGGAAUUCCAGAGAGAAGCCGGCGCGGUGAGGGUGGCACUAGCGAGAGAGAUCUCAGGUUCCCCUCCACCUUCUCUUCUCUCCCCCACCCCCACCCCACCUCCCUGCACGGAGCUGGAGGAGGGAGGGAGAGAGGGAGGGUGGGAGGGUAGGCGGGGACUGGCAAAAACGAAACCGGGCAAGCUCUCGGAGAACGACAACGCGGGAGUCGGUUUACCUGCCACCCUUACCGACGGAGACGGUCUGUCAAAAGCAGACAAGCAAAGCCCAGAAGCUUAGGAAGGGAGAGAAGGAUACAGUCGAUCCUAGGAAAGUGGAAAUGAAAAUCUCUCUCUGCAUAGACUGAGACAAAGUCCAAAGAGAACAAAUGGCUGCCUGGGGCAAAUGCUCUGGUGGUCAGGUCAGAGAAACAUGGAUUUCAGCAUGACUGACCAACCAGAAUGGAGGGAAAGUACAACGCAACACUAUGAGUGGGUGUGUGUGUUGGGGGGGGGGGUGAACUGAAAUCUCAUCCAAAACAAAACAAACCAAAACAAAAAAAGGAAAACAGCCCCCCCCCAAAAAAAACCCAAAAAACAACAGAAGAAGAAGAAGAAGAAGGAAGCCCGCGACCAACAGGGUCAAGGCUCCGGCUUUCUCAACGCGGUGGCUCUGGUUGCCCCUGUGUGGUGCAGGUUCCAUCUCUGGCUCAGGAAAAACUUCCACUUGCUGCCCGUGUGUGUGGCCAAAAAGUAAAACAUAAAGCUGAAACAGGAGGGAGAGGGGGUGGAGAAAACCCGAAACAAACAAUAAACUUUGCAAGUCUCAGGAUUGCCAUCCUGGGGUAGUGGAAACAAAUCCGACCAGGAACCAUGAGGUUGCAGGUUUGAUCCCUGGUUCACUUGUUGGGUUAAGGAUCUGGCUUUGCCGUGAGCUGUGGUGUCCGUCACAGGCGCGGCUAGGAUCCCGCGUGGCUGUGCCUGUGGCGUAGGCCGGCAGGUAAGGCUCCGAACUGACCCCUAGCCUGGGACCCUCCAUGUGCUGCGGGUGGGGCUCCCCCCCCCAAAAAAAACCAAAAAAGAGAGAGAGAGAGAGAGAGGGAGAGAGAGAGAGAGAGAGAAAGAAAGAGAGAGAGAGAGAGAGAGGGAGAGAGAGAGAGAGAGAGAAAGAAAGAGAGAGAGAGAGAGAGAGGGAGAGAGAGAGAGAGAGAGAAAGAAAGAGAGAGAGAGAGAGAGAGGGAGAGAGAGAGAGAGAGAGAAAGAAAGAGAGAGAGAGAGAGAGAGGGAGAGAGAGAGAGAGAGAGAAAGAAAGAGAGAGAGAGAGAGAGAGGGAGAGAGAGAGAGAGAGAGAAAGAAAGAGAGAGAGAGAGAGAGAGGGAGAGAGAGAGAGAGAGAGAAAGAAAGAGAGAGAGAGAAAAGAAAGAAAGGAAGAAAGGAAGGAAGGAAAGAAAAAGAAGGAAAAAGAAAUCCAUCUUGGAGUUCCCGCUGUGCCUAGGUCACAGCUGAGCCUCAAGUUCGAUCCCUGGCACAGGAAAGGCAGUGCAGCAGGAAAAAAAAAAAAAAAAAAAAAAGAACAACUCCAUCUUGCUGGUUGGGCAGGGGAGAUGCAAUUGCCGGAUGACAUUCCACAACUCUGCCAAACUGGCAAAACCACGACGCACUUAGUACAGGAGUCAUUGAAGACAUGGAUGUGAAAGCAUCUUCUUGCUAUCGAUUCAUUUCCCACAAUCCCAGGAAGAGCCAUUGGAACAGGGCUCCCAUUCUUGGCACGAUAUCUUUUCUAGGUGUGGGUGGAUGCAUCUUUUCUCAUGGUUGUUUUCCUUUUGACCAAACUUAACUUCAGCCUCCACCAUGUCAUCUUUUGGGCUCUCAAGCCUGCCAUGAGAAUAUGGUCACCAAAGUCCUCGCCCAGAGGCACCUUUGCCCACCACCAGUGCCGCCGUCUCCCCCCCCCUCCUCCUCCUCCUCCUCCUCCUCCAACCCCCGCCAAGCACCCCACCCCCCACCCCGCUUUGUAUUGUUCAGCUGUCUUGCACUGGUCUCUCACACGGUGGCGGUGUGGUCCUACGCAUGUCUCCCAACCACAUUCAAGUGGACUUCCGGGAUCAUCAUUUUCUGUUUCCUAACUGCACUUUCGUCGUUCUUAGGAGGUUUGCUUCCCUCCCCGCCUCCCCCCCACCCCCCGCGCGCGCGCGCGCGCCCACGCUUGGUGUUGAAUCGGAGCUGCAUCUGCUAGCCUGAGCCACAGCCACAGCAACGGCGGGAUCCGAGCCACAUCUGAGACCUUAUGCCACAGCUCGUGGAAAAAUGCCAGAUCCUUAAACCCCUGAGCGAGGCCAGGGAUCAAACCUGCCACCUCGUGAUUCCUAGUCCGAUUCGUUUCUGCCCCGCCAUGACAGGAAUUCCUUCCUGUGUUCUUUUGGGUCAUGGUUGUUUCCAGCUUCAGGGAUCAAACCUGCCACCUCGUGAUUCCUAGUCCGAUUCGUUUCCGCCGCGCCAUGACAGGAAUUCCUUCCUGUGUUCUUUU
rnacentral:lncRNA from 1 species